GCCAGGCAGCAGUUCCCUCUGGGGAGAGCACGGUCUGCUGUCCUGCAGUUGUUUGUGACGCAAGAGGUCACUCACUAUAUGCCAUGUGCUUCCCAAGCGGCGAAAAGGAAGUUCUUCAUGCAAGGAACUCCCAAUUAUUAAGCAUAAACACCGAAGCGGAGGGAGAGAUAAGGGGCCAGGAACAACACAAGGAAGUGGUGUAACUGAAAAAGCUACAGAGCCAACAGAAGAUAGUACCCACCUCCUUCCAGGUCUGUCUUUGAAAAAGCUCACAGACAGAAGCUCCACCAACUGGUGGAAUUGCCCUGGAAUUCUGCAAUACCACAGAUGGGGAGGCUUGAAUAUUCCUGGACUGACUCAGCCUGUUCACUUUGCCUGGCUUGUAAGACAAUAGACGAUUCUUUCUUGCUCGUGGAGAUCCAAAAUUAAAAGUAAAGGAGGUCACAUAUGAACAAAUAGAACAAUCGCCUGUUAGAGAAACCCAUAGACUGAACUGUGAUCAUAUUAAGCAAGAGGAGCUGUUGAGAGCAUAAUUCCUGCUGACCACGUAAGAGCUGAUUAGGAAUGGGAGAAGCCAGGACCAGACAAGGGUCAGACAUGCAAGCAUAGCAGAUUAUUAAACAAGGAG
rnacentral:lncRNA from 1 species